AGUAAAUAGAUACCCAGGUAGUCCACGCCGUAAACGAUGUCGACUUGGAGGUUGUGCCCUUGAGGCGUGGCUUCCGGAGCUAAACGCGUUAAGUCGACCGCCUGGGGAGUACGGCCGCAAGGUUAAAACUCAAAUGAAUUGACGGGGGCCCGCACAAGCGGUGGAGCAUGUGGUUUAAUUCGAUGCAACGCGAAGAACCUUACCUACUCUUGACAUCCAGAGAGCUUUCCAGAGAUGGAUUGGUGCCUUCGGGAACUCUGAGACAGGUGCUGCAUGGCUGUCGUCAGCUCGUGUUGUGAAAUGUUGGGUUAAGUCCCGCAACGAGCGCAACCCUUAUCUUUUGUUGCCAGCGGUUAGGCCGGGAACUCAAAGGAGACUGCCAGUGAUAAACUGGAGGAAGGUGGGGAUGACGUCAAGUCAUCAUGGCCCGUUACGAGUAGGGCUACACACGUGCUACAAUGGCGCAUACAAAGAGAAGCGACCUCGCGAGAGCAAGCGGACCUCAUAAAGUGCGUCGUAGUCCGG
rnacentral:rRNA from 1 species